UACGGAGGGUGCAAGCGUUGUUCGGAAUUACUGGGCGUAAAGGGCGCGUAGGCGGCGCGUUAAGUCAGAUGUGAAAGCCCUGGGCUCAACCCAGGAAUUGCAUUUGAUACUGACGUGCUUGAAUCCGGAAGAGGAUGACGGAAUUCCCAGUGUAGAGGUGAAAUUCAUUGAUAUUGGGAAGAACACCAGUGGCGAAGGCGGUCAUCUGGUCCGGUAUUGACGCUGAGGCGCGAAAGCGUGGGGAGCAAACAGGAUUAGAUACCCUGGUAGU
rnacentral:rRNA from 1 species